rnacentral:rRNA from 1 species
UUAAAAUGUAAUUAAAAAAAUUAAGGUAGUAGUAGUUAUGUUCUUGAAACUUAAAAAAUUUGGCGGUAUUUUAGUCUAUUCAGAGGAACCUGUUCUAUAAUCGAUAAUCCACGAUGGACCUUACUUAAGUUUGUAAUCAGUUUAUAUACCGUCGUUAUUAGAAUAUUUUAUAAGAAUGUUAAUUUUCAUAAUUUUUAAAAAGAAAAUAUAUCAGAUCAAGGUGUAGCUUAUAUUUAAGUAGAAAUGGGUUACAAUAAAUUUAUUUAUACGAAUAUAAAUUUGAAAUAUUUAUUGAAGGUGGAUUUGAUAGUAAAAUUAUAAAGAUUAAUAAUUUGAUUUUAGCUCUAAAAUAUGC